UUACACAAUAACAAGGCGGGCUGGACACCCCCAGCCGGGCACUGCUUCACGGCGUGCGCGGCUGGGCCGGCCCUGCUGAAUUAUUCACCCGUGUCUUUUGCGUACUUCUUGUUUCCUGGGUGGGCUCGCCCGCCAUCAGGACCAACCACAAACCUUUUGCAAUAGCAAUCAGCGUCAGUAACAACGUAAUUAAUUACAACUUUCAACAACGGAUCUCUUGGUUCUGGCAUCGAUGAAGAACGCAGCGAAAUGCGAUACGUAGUGUGAAUUGCAGAAUUCAGUGAAUCAUCGAAUCUUUGAACGCACAUUGCGCCCUUUGGUAUUCCAAAGGGCAUGCCUGUUCGAGCGUCAUUUGUACCCUCAAGCUUUGCUUGGUGUUGGGCGUCUUUUGUCUCCAGUUCGCUGGAGACUCGCCUUAAAGUCAUUGGCAGCCGGCCUACUGGUUUCGGAGCGCAGCACAAGUCGCGCUCUUUGCCAGCCAAGGUCAGCGUCCAGCAAGCCUUUUUUUUCAACCUUUGACCUCGGAUCAGGUAGGGAUACCCGCUGAACUUAAGCAUAUC
rnacentral:misc_RNA from 1 species